AUAUGUGAGGUCACCACAAGAGCUCCAUUGCUAUGCAAUAUAUGGAAUGUGGGUUUACAUUUCUUGAAUGAUAGGUAAUAAUGUCAAGCUUUGAAUGGAAACAGAUAAUGUUGUACACAUAAAAUGUCACCACCCACAGGCUGGCCCCACCAUUGACGCUUUACUCUGGAGUUGAGGGAUGUAACCUCUCCAAGUGAAUCACCACAAACCAAAAAACCAAAAAUGGAGAAUGAAGUAAAAACACAAAUAAAACAAAAUAAAAAUGUGUGUCUUCCA
rnacentral:lncRNA from 1 species